UCACCACGAAGCCUCUGAAACUCUUCCCCACCGUAUAUUCCAUAAUCCACCAUGUUUAUUUGAUCUCAGACACGGCCAAAAAACAUGCCAACAAAGGGUAAUUAUGAUGAAUUGGGUGAAGCAGUGAACUUUGACUACAUCUCUAUCACUUAUUUAUAGUCUCAAAAACUAGGGAGUUUAAGAGCUGCAGAGAAGGAGUCACUAAAUUGAACAUAGAAAGCAAAUGAAAACUCUUAAUGAGAGGUUUGAAUGAGGAUUACAAACGUUCAGAAGCGUGUUGCAAAAUCUGCCAUGCAAAAGACGUACGGUCUUGAAGAAGACGAAGUCAUUCAAAUAAAUGGUGGGCUGUAAAUGGACUUUGUUUAUGUUAUGGAAGGUCAUCAAUAUUAGAUUCAACUUGUUAUAGAGCCCUUUUAGGCCUAUUCGUUGGAACUAUUUUUCAUCAAAAGUUGAGAACUCUGUAGACAGGCUGACGUGUAGAAAUUUGCCCUACUCUUUGCGGUGACAUGGCAUAAGGAAAAUAGAGAAAAGUCUCAUUUAUUGUUAUAGAUAGAUAAGACCAUAAUUUAGAAAGAAAAUUAAAUAUAUAGUGAGUAAAUGAUGUUGAUGGGAUACACAAUAUAUACAUGUCUACGUGUAGACAGCGCCAGUCUAACUGUAGUGGACGCCCUACGAUGUAGAGUAUAAAUGUGGUGGAGCUUUUCGUUUAUUCAUGUGUAAUGUUUAGCAUGUACGACAAGUUAGGUUAUAUUAUGCAGUGCCGGCCUUGGGGUAGUGCCCCCAAAGUACAAAAGCACAGGGUCCCCACCCUUUCACCAAAAUUUCUUAUUACUUUAAGGUCCAAAAUUUUGAAGUUUUCUAAAAUUAAGGACCCAAUUUUUAAAAUCAACCAUUAACUUUGGAGAAUUUUUUUUAUGGCACAAGGUACACUAAUGUUUUGAGCGGGCCUGCUAUUAUGAGUGACUAACAUACCAUUGAUGAAAUUUUAAAUAUCUAAAUAAAAUCAGUGGCAUAAUACGUAAUAUAUCACAUAAGAUCAAAAUUAACUUC